CCUACGGGGGGCUGCAGUGGGGAAUAUUGGACAAUGGGGGGAACCCUGAUCCAGCCAUGCCGCGUGUGUGAAGAAGGCCCUCGGGUUGUAAAGCACUUUCAGUGAGGAAGAACGCCUGGUGGUUAAUACCCAUCAGGAAAGACAUCACUCACAGAAGAAGCACCGGCUAACUCCGUGCCAGCAGCCGCGGUAAUACGGAGGGUGCGAGCGUUAAUCGGAAUUACUGGGCGUAAAGCGCGCGUAGGUGGCUUGAUAAGCCGGUUGUGAAAGCCCCGGGCUCAACCUGGGAACGGCAUCCGGAACUGUCAAGCUAGAGUGCAGGAGAGGAAGGUAGAAUUCCCGGUGUAGCGGUGAAAUGCGUAGAGAUCGGGAGGAAUACCAGUGGCGAAGGCGGCCUUCUGGACUGACACUGACACUGAGGUGUGAAAGCGUGGGUAGCAAACAGGAUUAGAUACCCUUGUAGUC
rnacentral:rRNA from 1 species